rnacentral:rRNA from 1 species
GCGGUGUUCGGAGCGAAGGCGUUUAAGCUCGCCGCCUGGGAAGUACGGUCGCAAGACUGAAAACUUAAAGGAAUUGGCGGGGGAGCACUACAAGGGGGUGCGGCGUGCGGUUUAAUCUAACUCCACACAGAGAAUCUCACCAGAAGCGACGGCAGGAUGAAGAUCAGUCUAAAGGGCUUAUCUGACGAGCCGAGAGGUAGUGCAUGGCCGCCGUCAGCUCGUGCCGUAAGGUGUCUUGUUAAGUCAGGCAACGAGCGAGACCUGUAUCUACAAUUGCUAACGACUCAUUUUGAGAAUCGAGCACAUUGUGGGGACUGCCUUGGAACCAAGGAGGAAGGUGCAGGCAACGGUAGGUCUGUAUGCUCCGAAUCUUCUGGGCUACACGCGCGCAACAAUGGUACGGACAAUGGGCUGCAACUCCGAGAGGAGAAGCUAAACCUCGAAACCGUAUCUUAGUACAGAUUGAGGGCUGUAACUCGCCCUUCAUGACGCUGGAAUCCCUAGUANAACGGG